rnacentral:rRNA from 1 species
AACGAACGCUGGCGGCGUGCCUAACACAUGCAAGUCGAGCGGGAAAGUUCCCUUCGGGGAGCGAGUACAGCGGCGAACGGGUGAGUAACACGUAGGUAACCUACCCUGGAGACUGGGAUAACCUGCCGAAAGGCGGGCUAAUACCAGAUAAGACCACGAGGGCUGCGGCCCAUGUGGAAAAAGAUGGCCUCUGCUUGCAAGCUAUCACUCCGGGAUGGGCCUGCGCGCCAUUAGCUAGUUGGUGAGGUAAUGGCUCACCAAGGCUGAGAUGGCUAGCUGGUGUGAGAGGACGGCCAGCCACACUGGGACUGAGACACGGCCCAGACUCCUACGGGAGGCAGCAGUGGGGAAUAUUGCGCAAUGGGCGAAAGCCUGACGCAGCGACGCCGCGUGGGUGAUGAAGGCCUUCGGGUCGUAAAGCCCUGUCAAGAGGGACGAAACCUCGUCGACCUAACACGUCGGCGACCUGACGGUACCUCUGAAGGAAGCACCGGCUAACUCCGUGCCAGCAGCCGCCGUAAUAC